GAUGAACGCUAGCGGCAGGCUUAAUACAUGCAAGUUGAGGGGCAGCAUGAUAUACGCGAGUAUAUUGAUGGCGACCGGCGGACGGGUGAGUAAUAGGUAGGAGACCUACCUCAUACAGGGGGAUAGCAUAGAGAAAUCUGUGGUAAUACCCCAUGAGGUUAUAUGAAUAGAGGCAUAUAAUCAAAGCAUAAGCGAUUAUGCGGUAUGAGAGGGGCCUACUGACCAUUAGCUAGUUGGUGAGGUAAGGGUUCACCAAGGCGAAGAUGGUUAGGGGUUUUGAGAGAGAGACCCCCCACAUUGGAACUGAGAGACGGUCCAGACUCCUACGGGAGGCAGCAGUAGGGAAUAUUGGGCAAUGGGCAAAGCCUGACCCAGCCAUGCCGCGUGAAGGAAGACGGCCUUAUGGGUUGUAAACUUCUUUACUACGCGAAUAGAGGUUAGUACGAGAUACUAAUAGGAAGGUAGUGUAGUAAAAGCACCGGCUAACUCCGUGCC
rnacentral:rRNA from 1 species